GUGCCAGCAGCCGCGGUAAUACAGAGGUCUCAAGCGUUGUGCGGAUUCAUUGGGCGUAAAGGGUGCGUAGGUGGCGGGGUAAGUCAGGUGUGAAAUUUCGGAGCUCAACUCCGAAACUGCAUUUGAUACUGCCUUGCUCGAGGACUGGAGAGGAGACUGGAAUUCACGGUGUAGCAGUGAAAUGCGUAGAUAUCGUGAGGAAGACCAGUGGCGAAGGCGGGUCUCUGGACAGAUCCUGACACUGAGGCACGAAGGCCAGGGGAGCAAACGGGAUUAGAUAACCCCGGUAGUCC
rnacentral:rRNA from 1 species